UACGAAGGGGGCUAGCGUUGCUCGGAAUCACUGGGCGUAAAGCGCACGUAGGCGGCUUUUUUAAGUCAGGGGUGAAAUCCUGGAGCUCAACCUGGGGGGCGGCGCAUGAUACGUGGGGGCUGGGAGUGCGGAAGAGGGUCGUGGAAUUCCCAGUGUAGAGGUGAAAUUGUAGAUAUUGGGAAGAAACACCGGUGGCGAAGGCGGCGACCUGGUCCGUGACUGACGCUGAGGCGCGAAAAGCGUGGGGGAGCAA
rnacentral:rRNA from 1 species